rnacentral:rRNA from 1 species
GACGAACGCUGGCGGCGUGCUUAACACAUGCAAGUCGAACGGAAAGGCCCUGCUUUUGUGGGGUGCUCGAGUGGCGAACGGGUGAGUAACACGUGAGUAACCUGCCCUUGACUUUGGGAUAACUUCAGGAAACUGGGGCUAAUACCGGAUAGGAGCUCCUGCUGCAUGGUGGGGGUUGGAAAGUUUCGGCGGUUGGGGAUGGACUCGCGGCUUAUCAGCUUGUUGGUGGGGUAGUGGCUUACCAAGGCUUUGACGGGUAGCCGGCCUGAGAGGGUGACCGGCGACAUUGGGACUGAGAUACGGCGCAGACUCCUCCGGGAGGCAGCAGUGGGGAAUAUUGCACAAUGGGCGGAAGCCUGAUGCAGCAACGCCGCGUGCGGGAUGACGGCCUUCGGGUUGUAAACCGCUUUCGCCUGUGACGAAGCGUGAGUGACGGUAAUGGGUAAAGAAGCACCGGCUAACUACGUG